rnacentral:lncRNA from 1 species
UACGAGCCGAGGGCAUUGCAAUGAGAUAAUAAUUCAUGAAACUUACUUUACUUGAUUCUUUAUUUGAUGCUUCGACUCCGAAUAAUAUCUUUGGGAAGAAAAGCAGAGUUAAGAAUGCUAGUAAAGGAAGGGAGAGAGGACGCUGGGAACCCAUUUUUUGCUUUAGGGAAGUGAUACGGCCUAAAGCUUUAUUUAUAGGUCAAUGGCCACUUCCGCAAAAAUGUGUUGCUUUCAAUAGUGCGAGCAAUAAUAUCAAAUCAUUAGCCAAUUGGAUAAUUCACCUUCUUUGGUU